UACGUAGGGUGCAAGCGUUAAUCGGAAUUACUGGGCGUAAAGCGUACGCAGGCGGUUUUGUAAGCCAGAUGUGAAAGCCCCGGGCUUAACCUGGGAAUGGCAUUUGGGACUGCAAGGCUUGAGUGCGGCAGAGGAGACUGGAAUUCCUGGUGUAGCAGUGAAAUGCGUAGAUAUCAGGAGGAAUACCGAUGGCGAAGGCAGGUCUCUGGGCUGACACUGACGCUCAUGCACGAAAGCGUGGGGAGCAAACAGG
rnacentral:rRNA from 1 species